UCUACUAACUUCUGUUACUUCUUUACACUAAUGGUCAAAUAUCUUCUAUCUGUUCCAUCAGAUUAGCACAAUUUUUUGAAUUUACUUGGCAUACUCAACCUUCUAGACACCUCUAAAUUUCAACUACAGAAGUUUUUUCAAUUUCAAAAAAAAAUAGUCAAGAGUACCAGCCAUUGUCGUAAUACGUGAAGUCUUGUUUGAGAAUGCUCCGGGCACUUGGCUAUAGAAGGAAGAAUGGAAAUUGCAAUAAAAAAAUCCUAAUUCUAAUAGAAUUCUAAUAAUGCUCUAAUUAGACUAUAAUAAUGCUAAGCAAGCUUAAUCAAAUUCAAAAAAAACUUCAAAGAAAUUUCAAACAAACAGUAAGAAGUUUUAAAGAAACAUUAAAAAGAACACAAAUAUCAUUCAAAUAUAUCUCAAUUCAAUCUUAAUUUAAUUCUAGUUAAAAUCCUAUUGAACUUCAUUCAAACUUUAGGCCAAAACUAAUUGAAUCUUAAAUCCUAAUAAAUCCUAAAUCCUAAAUUAAAUCCCAACCAAAUCCUAAAUCAAAUCCUAAAUCCUAAAUCAAACCCUAACCAAAUCCUAAUCCAAAUUCUAAAUCCUAAACCAAAUCUUAAUCCAAAUCUUAAAUCCAAAAUCAAAUCCUAACCAAACCCUAAAUUCUAAAUCAAACCCUAACCAAAUCCUAAACCAAAUCCUAAUCCAAAUCCUAAAUCCUAAAUCAAAUCCUAAUCAAAUUCUAAAUCCUAAAUCAAAUCCUAUCUAAAUUCUAAACCCUAAACUAAAUCCUAAUCUAAAUUCUAAACCCUAAACCAAACCCUAAUCAAAUCCUAAACCCUAAAUCAAACCCUAUCUAAAUUCUAAACCCUA
rnacentral:lncRNA from 1 species